AGAUUGAAAGCGUCACUCAGCCGUUCUGUUCGGGCGUCGAAAGGAGUCGUUUUCAAAUAGAGGCAAAUGGCGAAAGAUUACAGCGCUUGUUUGCUUAUCAUUCUAUUAUGGAGUAGCUCAUUAGCCGAUGCUGUAAAAACGGAGUUUGACGACGUCUGGGAUCCAAGCUAUCAUAGGGAUCAGCCAGCGCUCGCUCAAUACAAAAGAUUCAUGUUUAAUCCGGACUUGGGUAAGAGAAUGUUUAAUAUGGAUUUGGGUAAGAGAAUGUUCAAUAACGAUCUUGGAAAGCGAAUGUUCAAUAUGGACUUGGGCAAAAAAAAGAAAAGGGAAAACAACUAGAGGAAUUCGAAUCGACUAUAACAGUAUCGCUUCCUUUUCCAAUCCUUUUUACGAGUUAUUAAGAAACCUUUCAACGCCAUCAUAUUUAACGCGUUCAUUUGUGAAAAUGGGAAAAAAACCAGUGCAACGCUUAUCGGAUUUCAGAUUAUAAUCUUCAUUGAAAUUAUGAUUAUAAUGCAGUACAGCUAUUUGAUUUUUUAACAAAUAAACUGAUGGCUCUAAUUAGAUUCAUUUUAAAUAGACUGUUCAAUGACAUUUAUAGAUAUUCUCACAUUUUAAAGCAAUUAGCG
rnacentral:misc_RNA from 1 species